GACGAACCGUGCGAACGUUAUUCGGAAUCACUGGGCUUAAAGGGCGCGUAGGCGGGCCGUCAAGUCCGGGGUGAAAGCCUCCAGCUCAACUGGAGAAGUGCCUCGGAUACUGGCGGCCUCGAGGGAGAUAGGGGCGUGCGGAACUUCCGGUGGAGCGGUGAAAUGCGUAGAUAUCGGAAGGAACGCCGGUGGCGAAAGCGCACUGCUGGAUCUCUUCUGACGCUGAGGCGCGAAAGCUAGGGGAGCAAACGGG
rnacentral:rRNA from 1 species